rnacentral:rRNA from 1 species
CGGUGGUCACAGCGACAGGGACACGCCCGGACCCAUCCCGAACCCGGAAGCUAAGCCUGACAGCGCCGAUGGUACUGCACCCGCCAGGGUGCGGGA